rnacentral:rRNA from 1 species
AUACAGAGGGUGCGAGCGUUAAUCAGAAUUACUGGGCGUAAAGCGCGCGUAGGCGGCUUGGUCAGUCGGAUGUGAGAGCCCCGGGCUCAACCUGGGAAUGGCAUUCGAUACUGCCAGGCUAGAGUAUGGGAGAGGGAAGUGGAAUUUCCGGUGUAGCGGUGAAAUGCGUAGAUAUCGGAAAGAACACCAGUGGCGAAGGCGACUUCCUGGCCCAAUACUGACGCUGAGGUGCGAAAGCGUGGGGAGCGAACAGGAUUAGAUACCCUAGUAGUCC